rnacentral:tRNA from 1 species
GGGGAGAUACCCAAGUGGCUAAAGGGGGCAGACUGUAAAUCUGUUGGCGUUGCCUACGGAGGUUCGAAUCCUCCUCUCCCCA